ncrna:Actinomyces sp. oral taxon 448 str. F0400 Actinomyces-1 RNA
ACUGCCGCCGGACGGUACGGACCGUGAGGGUUGGGGAACCCGAGGACCGGCUCGUACCGAGAGUCGUCGGGGUUGCAGGGAACCCCGACGCUCGCUCCGGCGAGGGAG